rnacentral:lncRNA from 1 species
GAUUAUUUUCAGUGUCCUGUUAAUUAUAUCAGUAUUAAGUCAAGAGACACAAAUGAGAUUGUUCUUCAAGAGAAAAGAGUUGAGCAUUAGAUGAGCAUUACUGAGAUGAACUGAGAUCAGAUCAAGAGUCUGAAAUGUUACUUCUGGUGAACUUUAAUUCUUUGAAUGUUUGUGUAAUAUGUGUCUGAUUUUAAUUAAUGGUGUGUGUGUGUGUGUGUGAAGGAGAAAGAAUGUGAUCUUUAUAAUAACAGACCUGAAGUGAACAUCAUUAAUGGGACUGUGAUAAUAAAGCGUGUGAUCAGAGCAGAUUCAGGGAAUUACACAUUAACACUCACUAACUCAGACGGCACAGAUACAUUUCGAGGAGAUCUUCAAGUGAUUGUUGAAGCUGCUAUUGGCUCAGUGGAAGUGUCUGUCAUCUGCUCCUCCAAUCAGAGGUCAGUGUUCUGCUCCUCUGAGGGGGAUCAGCUCCUCUACAGCUGGACUCUGAAUGGAGAUCCACCGAUGGAUGGAAACAGCAGCAUUGAUCUGGAUGAGGGAACUGAUGGAAACAUCAGCUGCAGCGUGAAGAACCACGUCAGUCACACACAGAAGACCAUUAGACUCGAACCCUGUCCUGUGUCUGUGGUGUUUGUGCUGGCCUGGGGUUUCCAGCUGAUGGUUCUGUUGGGUCUGUUAGGAGGUUUUCACAUCUACAUGAGACACACGUCAGGAAAGAAAGAGGAAGAUCAGAAAGUGAGAAUGAGCAGAUUUAGAGAGCGACAUGAACACACAGCUGAAGAUUCAUGAGAGCAGCAGCAGAUCUUCACAUCUGUGAGAAAUGACUUCAGAAUCUCAGCGAUUCUCACAUCAGUCCAGCUUUCAUCAGGCGACAGCAGGAGAUCUUACAGAAUAAAGCCAGAAGACAUUUUCUGCAGUUUUAGUUAAGAAUCUCUUCUUUGAUUAGAUGAUUUUCUGGACAUUUGUUUUUGCAUCAGUUUAAUGCUUAUUUUAUUCAUUUGUCUUUACGCUUUGAAUGAACCAGCAGUAUUUUACAUCAUUACAUGAAACUCCUUCUGUUCAUCCAGAUUGUGAAGUCAUCCUGUGUGUUUUUCACAUUUUCUGCUCUUGUUAUUUUAUUCAGUUGGUUUUUGUUGAUUUCUCUUCAUAUGCGGCUUCUGUUUAGAUGUUUUAUCUGUUCAAA